rnacentral:rRNA from 1 species
UACGGGGGGGGUAAGCGUUGUUCGGAAUUACUGGGCGUAAAGGGCUUGUAGGCGGCCAACUAAGUCAGACGUGAAAUCCCUCAGCUUAACUGGGGAACUGCGUCUGAUACUGGAUGGCUUGGAUUUGGGAGAGGGAUGCGGAAUUCCAGGUGUAGCGGUGAAAUGCGUAGAUAUCUGGAGGAACACCGGUGGCGAAGGCGGCAUCCUGGACCAAUAUUGACGCUGAGGAGCGAAAGCCAGGGGAGCAAACGGG